rnacentral:rRNA from 1 species
UGGGGAAAUUUGGACAAUGGGCGCAAGCCUGAUCCAGCCAGGCCGCGUGCAGGAUGAAGGCCUUCGGGUUGUAAACUGCUUUUGUACGGAACGAAAAGACUCUUCCUAAUAAAGAGGGUCCAUGACGGUACCGUAAGAAUAACCACCGGCUAACUACGUGCCAGCAGCCGCGGUAAUACGUAGGGUGCAGCCGUUAAUCGGAAUAACGGGGCGUAAAGCGUGCGCAGGCGGUUAUGUAAGACAGAUGUGAAAUCCCCGGGCUCAACCUGGGAGCUGCAUGUGUGACUGCAUAGCUAGAGUACGGUAGAGGGGGAUGGAAUUCCGCGUGUAGCAGUGAAAUGCGUAGAUAUGCGGAGGAACACCGAUGGCGAAGGCAAUCCCCUGGACCUGUACUGACGCUCAUGCACGAAAGCGUGGGGAGCAAACAGGAUUAG